GGGUAUUUUCGCAUGAUAGCGGCCAUUUUGGGCCCGCCUUACAAGCGAGAGGUCAGAGGUUCAAAUCCUCUGCCGCCCACCA
rnacentral:tRNA from 1 species